rnacentral:rRNA from 1 species
AGUUACAAAAUCAUGUGGUAGUCGAAGCGCGUGGAACCGCGCACCAUAGAGGGCAACCGUCCCGUAGACGAAACUGCACGAUCUCCUGUCAGGCGUUCCUGAGUAAGUCCGCACCCGUGAAACGCGGACUGAACCUGGGGGGACCACCCUCCAAGGCUAAGUACUCCUUGGUGACCGAUAGCGGACUAGUACCGUGAGGGAAAGGUGAAAAGUACCCCGGAAGGGGAGUGAAAUAGUACCUGAAACCGCGUGCCUACAAGCGGUGGGAGCAGACUUGUUCUGUGACCGCGUGCUUUUUGCAUAACGAGCCGGCGAGUUACUCGUCUGCGGCAAGGUUAAGCGAUGAGCGGAGCCGUAGCGAAAGCGAGUCCUAAUAGGGCGACAUAGUCGUAGGCGGUAUACCCGAAACUGAGCGAGCUACCCAUGGGCAGGCUGAAGCGGGGGUAAGACCUCGUGGAGGGCCGAACCGACCUAGGUUGAAAACUGGGCGGAUGACCUGUGGGUCGGAGUGAAAGGCUAAUCAAGCUCAGUGAUAUCUGGUUCUCUCCGAAAUAUAUUUAGGUAUAGCCUCGGAUAAAUUGCGUGUUGGCCGUAGAGCACUGUUUGGAUUAGGGGCCCUACCAGGUUACCGACUUCAGGCAAACUCCGAAGACCAGUCACGUUUACUCCGGGAGUCAGUUGCUGGGGGAUAAACUUCAGCGUCAAAAGGGAAACAGCCCAGACCGCCAGCUAAGGUCCCCAAGUACUAGCUAAGUGGGAAACGAUGUUCGAGUGCAUAGACAACCAGGAGGUUGGCUUAGAGGCAGCCAUCCUUGAAAGAGUGCGUAACAGCUCACUGGUCAAGUGUUCGAGCGCGGACAAUGUAACGGGGCUCAAGCUAGUCACCGAAGCUGCGGGUGCGUGAGACCUUCGGGUCGAUCGCGCGGUAGGAGAGCGUUCCCAUGCCAGUAAAGCGGCGGCGUAAGCCAGCCGUGGAGGCAUGGGAAGUGAGAAUGCCGGCAUAAGUAACGAAAGAGGGGUGAGAAUCCCCUCCACCGAUUGCCUAAGGAUUCCUGAGUAAAGUUCGUCUGCUCAGGGUUAGUCGGGACCUAAGGCGAGGCCGAAAGGCGUAGUCGAUGGCCAACAGGUUGAUAUUCCUGUACCACGUCGCUUCCGUUUGACCGAUGGGGGGACGAGGAAGGCUAGGGAAACCCAGGCGAUGGUCGUCCUGGGACAAGCAUGUAGGGGUGGCCCUUGUAAAAUGCGGGGCCGCAUAACCUGAGGUGCGAUGUGAGCUGGCGUUAAGCCGGCGACUUCCUGACGCCAUACCUCCAAGAAAAUCCUCUAGGGAGGAAGCGCGUGCCCGUACCAAAACCGACACAGGUAGGCAAGUAGAGAAUACUAAGGUGAUCGAGAUAACCCUCGUUAAGGAACUCGGCAAAAUCGCCCCGUAACUUCGGGAUAAGGGGCGCCCCAGUAGGGUGAAGCUCUUCGCGAGUGGAGUCCGAGAGGGCCGCAGUGAAUUGGCUGAAGCGACUGUUUACCAAAAACACAGGUCUCUGCUAAGUCGAAAGACGACGUAUAGGGGCUGACGCCUGCCCGGUGCCGGAAGGUUACGUGGAGUUGUCAGGACUUCGGUUCGAAGCAGCGAAGCUAAGCCCCGGUAAACGGCGGCCGUAACUAUAACGGUCCUAAGGUAGCGAAAUUCCUUGUCGGGUAAGUUCCGACCUGCACGAAUGGCGUAACGACUUCAGCGCUGUCUCAACGAGGAGCUCGGUGAAAUUGCAGUCUCGGUGAAGAUGCCGAGUACCCGCGGCUAGACGGAAAGACCCCGUGAACCUUUACUACAACUUGGUAUUGGAGUUCGGUGCACUUCGCUCAGGAUAGGUGGGAGGCUUUGAAGCGCUGGUUGCGGCCGGCGUGGAGCCAACCUUGAGAUACCACCCUUGGUGUAUUGGAUUUCUAACAGCGCGCCGUGAAUCCGGGCGCUGGACAGUUCCAGGCGGGUAGUUUGACUGGGGCGGUCGCCUCCUAAAAUGUAACGGAGGCGCACAAAGGUUCCCUCAUCACGGUUGGAAAUCGUGUGUAGAGCGUAAAGGUAGUAAGGGAGCUUGACUGCGAGACUGACAAGUCGAGCAGGUGCGAAAGCAGGUCUUAGUGAUCCGGCGGUAGCAAGUGGAAGUGCCGUCGCUCAACGGAUAAAAGGUACUCCGGGGAUAACAGGCUUAUCGGGCCCAAGAGUCCACAUCGACGGCCCGGUUUGGCACCUCGAUGUCGGCUCGUCGCAUCCUGGGGGUGGAGUUGCUCCCAAGGGUUGGGCUGUUCGCCCAUUAAAGCGGUACGCGAGCUGGGUUCAGAACGUCGUGAGACAGUUCGGUCCCUAUCUGCCGUGGGCGUUGGAGAGUUGAGAGGAUUUGUCCCUAGUACGAGAGGACCGGGAUGAACGCACCUCUGGUGUAUCUGUUGUCCUGCCAAGGGCAUAGCAGGCUAGCUACGUGUGGAUCGGAUAACCGCUGAAAGCAUCUAAGCGGGAAGCCGGCCUCGAGAUGAACUCUCCCAUCCCCUAGAGGGAGUAAGACCCCUGGUAGACCACCAGGUUGAUAGGCCGGAUCUGGAAGGGCGGCAACGUCCGUAGGAGACCGGUACUAAUGGGUCGAGGGCUUGACGG